CGCAGCGCUGGAUGCUCGCGCAGGGAGCGGCUCAGCAGAUACUGCCACAAGGGGCUGUCCUCAGCGGGCAGUAGGCGCUUCUCUCGCCGAGAUCGCCAUGGAGGGCACCGUCUCCCUGCCGGGGAGAGGAUACUGGGGGUGCUUCUGCAGGACACCUCGGCUGACCCUUAGGAGCCUUUACAUGGUCAAGACUUCAUGGGGCCCUUUGGAGAAGUGGCAGAGAAAGUCUCCCUGCAGCUUUGAACUCUUCACAUUGAGACACUGGCCUACACUUUGAGUCCCUCCUGCCCCAAAAGAAGACAAACACACGUACUUCCCAGAAGGCAUUGCUCCCACCUAUCGGAUGCCUGGCGCGAGACUCCAACGCAAAUGUGGACGAUGAGCCUGAUCCUGUUCAACUAACAGCGUACCCAACUCUGGGGGAUGAACUGUGACCAGUCUCAGGCUGUCACAACCAACCUAGUGCUUUUUUCAAGAUAUCUGCUCUCACCUUCUCCUGCAGUUCAUUUCUGGCCAGAGACAAAGGGGUGCUUCUCAGGACGUUUCCCUCCUUGAUGAUAAGAAACCUCCUUUUCUUGUUUAGCUUCAUCUUACCUUGAAUGGGGUUGUGUAAAGAUGAAAUGCUUGGAAUCAUAGCAGCCAUAUUCUGGCCAUGAAGCAACAAGUUUAAGGAUUGAAAACAACCAAACGGUGAGGAUGGCGAGAGGAAAGAUGGAGUGUUGGUCUUUGAAGACAUUAUCUAGCCAUUAAACCACCCCUAGCAACUGUCUACCUCCAGACUACUUGUUAUGUGAGAGAAUGGAGCCUUUUAUGUUUAAGCAAAUGAUUAGCUACAUCUUACUUGAAGCUCAAAGCAUUCCUAACUGAUACAGGCCCCCAACCAGGGUGGCCUGUGCCCAUCGGGGUGGCUUAAAGUUGGUACUGAGAUAAACCUGUCUGUUUUUUCUUCAGCCUAGAGUGACAGAUUUCAUACUGAACUUGAAAUCAUGCCCUCUAAAGGUGAGGAUUCGUUUUUCUCAGGAGUGAGCUUUCUCAUAGGAGAUGCCCCAUCUCAGACUAAUGGCAGGCCUAGUUCCUCCCCGUCCCUCCCCACAGCCUGAUGAGUCCAAAUGCCAGCACUGGGCACCCAUCGUCGCCCUCCUGCAUGCCUGUGGCCACCUACAUUUCUCACUCAUGCUUCAGUGGGUCA